AGAGUUUGAUCAUGGCUCAGAUUGAACGCUGGCGGCAGGCCUAACACAUGCAAGUCGAGCGGCAGCACAGAGGAACUUGUUCCUUGGGUGGCGAGCGGCGGACGGGUGAGUAAUGCCUGGGAAAUUGCCCGGUAGAGGGGGAUAACCAUUGGAAACGAUGGCUAAUACCGCAUAACCUCGUAAGAGCAAAGCAGGGGACCUUAGGGCCUUGUGCUACCGGAUAUGCCCAGGUGGGAUUAGCUAGUUGGUGAGGUAAGGGCUCACCAAGGCGACGAUCCCUAGCUGGUCUGAGAGGAUGAUCAGCCACACUGGAACUGAGACACGGUCCAGACUCCUACGGGAGGCAGCAGUGGGGAAUAUUGCACAAUGGGCGCAAGCCUGAUGCAGCCAUGCCGCGUGUAUGAAGAAGGCCUUCGGGUUGUAAAGUACUUUCAGUAGGGAGGAAGGUGGUUAAGUUAAUACCUUAAUCAUUUGACGUUACCUACAGAAGA
rnacentral:rRNA from 1 species